GAUGAACGCUGGCGGCGUGCUUAACACAUGCAAGUCGAACGGACUUAAGAGGAGCUUGCUCUUCUUAAGUUAGUGGCGGACGGGUGAGUAACGCGUGGGUAACCUGCCCUAUGCAGGAGGAUAACGUUUGGAAACGAACGCUAAUACCGCAUAAACUAUCGAGUUUCGCAUGAAACUUAUAGUAAAGAUUUAUCGGCAUAGGAUGGACCCGCGUUGGAUUAGCUAGUUGGUGAGAUAACAGCCCACCAAGGCAACGAUCCAUAGCCGGCCUGAGAGGGUGAACGGCCACAUUGGGACUGAGACACGGCCCAAACUCCUACGGGAGGCAGCAGUGGGGAAUAUUGCACAAUGGGCGCAAGCCUGAUGCAGCGACGCCGCGUGAAGGAUGAAGGUCUUCGGAUUGUAAACUUCUAUCAGCAGGGAAGAAUAAAUGACGGUACCUGACUAAGAAGCCCCGGCUAACUACGUGCCAGCCGCCGCCGUAA
rnacentral:rRNA from 1 species